AUGGCCUCGCACCUCCCCGAUCCGUGUUCCUCGCACACUCACCGCUUCGCCUCUGUCUCCCACCACGCCGCACGCCCCACGCCGGAAAAGGGAAGGCGAACCACCUCCGCCCUCCCCUCGCCCCCGCGCUGGUCCCACCGCCGAGCCCAGUUCCCCUCCCUUCUCCAUGCAGGCGCCGUCGCCAUCAAUCGAUCUCCUGAGCAAGCGACCUCCCUCCCCGAUCUACUCGUUGGCUCUGGCGGACGAGCCGGAGGGGCGAGGGGAGGGGGAGCGUGGACGCCAACUGGCGACCCACCCAAGACUCAGAUCCCGCCACCACGGCCGCCGGAGGCGGGGUUGACCCGAACGCACCGGCGCCCCACCGCCGGAGGCGACUGGCGCUCCGGGCUCCAUCCCGAAGCCCGCGCCAGGAUCGUUAGUAAGAUCUCCAUGUCUCCUGGUGCGGCGGCACAGUGGGAGGAUGUGAACGUGCGGCCGCCCAGGGGUGGUGGUGGUGGUGACCUACCUGCUCGUCCCUCGUCCUCAUCAUCGGCCUCUCCGAGGUCGCUGCUGGGGCAAUCUCCAUGGGCCCUUGAGGAUGGAGUAGGAGGAUGA
rnacentral:rRNA from 1 species